GUUUGGGGUGGGGGAAGGAAGGUGAAAGGGGAGGGCUACACAUCCUGGAAGGUGAGAGACAGCGAUGCUCUCUCCUGCAGCCCGGAGCAAGCCCCCUUUGUCCCGCAGAUUCCCCAGGCUGAACCCCUGCGCUGGGCCGAAUUUAGCAGCAGAAGAGAUAACCAGGAGAUAAGGGCUGAUACCCGGGAGGACAGCAGGAGAGCAGCCGAGGAAGAGGGGGAAAAUCCGGAGGCAGCCUCGGGAAGGGCUGUGCACCCAGAUGUACAGGGCUUGGGAUAUGCAUCCCCCUUUCAACUCCUUGCAUAACCCCCGGCGGUUUUCUCCACCGAGGCAUCGUUUCGCUGAAGCUCCGUUGAAUCCCUACUGCGUAUCAGCGCUUGCCUUUAUAGAUACAUAAAUGAAGCACCCAACAAAACGACCCCCAAAGUCCAAUUAAAACCCACUAAAACCUCCCGAGCAGCUCUUACUAGACGCAGAGACGGUUUCGAGGACUAGCUUGGAUUUGCCUCUUCCAGGAAAAAUAACAACAAACGAAACAACCCCAACCAAAUCACAUCGCAGUCUUGCGUGUGCGUGGCCGGCUCCAGCCUCUUUUCAGUGGGCAAUGCGGCUCCUCAGUGCCGAGCAUCGCAUCGAGGCAGAGGGAUUCGCCCCCCGAAAAAACAAUUCCCGGAUUCCAGCACGGUGUAAACUAACAGCGGAGAGGGGAAAGAUUGAUUCGGGACGAUUUUUAUCCCCCCAAAAGCGAAGGAUGGGACGCAGCAAUGCGCAGCGACAGGGAAAAGUCUCUGCCCGCACUCGGAGGAGGUUUUUAUCCCCCUUUGGUUGCGGACAGCAAAGCCAAGCCGCUAAAGAUAUCGAGCUGAAAAUCACCCUGCGGAACAAGCCUCAACCUUUCCUCUCUGCUUUCCAGCUUCCUUUCCCCUCCCAGGCGGGAAAUAAAUCCUUAUGAUGUUG